rnacentral:rRNA from 1 species
GGUCAGGCGGGAGCACCUGCUGAGUUUAAGCAUAUCAUUAAGCGGAGG